rnacentral:lncRNA from 1 species
CACUGCACAAGAAAACGUGGAAUGCCUUGAAAUCUUAGUUCAUUGAUAAAAGAAACUUGGAGGCACUGUUCCAAAGUUGACAACAAUCCUAAGUUUUAUAUGAUCUGACCAGUAGAAGAGAGGAAGCAGGGUUUAGGAUUAAUCACAAGUUUGCACUCAAGGUAAAUCGCAAUUAACUGACAUUAGGAUGAGAGUUGGGGUGACAGUCGGUUAAGUGUCAUUUUCCACAAAUUGAGUUUGAAAUACAAAGGAAACAACUAAUUGGAACUCAGUAAAGAGGUUAGGCUUAGAAAUAUAGAUCUGCAAGUUACCAAAUUCUAAGUAGAAACUGGGGGCAGAUGAGAGAACUGUGAGAAAAACAGGAAUGACAGAGUGGGACACUGUGAAAAGAACUUAUUUAAAGGGCUAGAAGACAGAAAGACUUUUUUAAAAUGACAAGAAAUGGUCAAGAGACAAGAAGAAAAGUAAAGAAGUCUGGUGUCCAUAAAAUACUGCCAGAAACUAUUUGUCAGAGAGAACAAACUAGAAAAAGAAUUUAGAAGUAUCAGUCGGUUUGGCAACUUAGCUCUGACCUCACAAGGGUACCUGUGUAACUAAAAUGUCCAGGAGUGACGUUUCUACUCUUCUGUUAACUGAACCUGUCCCCAACCCUAAACAACUUGGUCAGAGUGAAGUACAAUUUUCCCAGAAAGAGAUGAAUUUCAGGCAGAGCAUGAAAUAUUUAAGGACACAGAAGAUACUACCAAUAAUUAAAACCUUCAGACUGUACCAUAUUCAGGAAGCAUCGGAUGUAACAACUUUUUAAAAUAUUUCUGUUCAUCUUUAGAGCCCUAAAUUACCUACAAAUAAAUCAAAGAAACUACAGACAUGUUGAUAACAGGGAAUAAUUCAAUCUGGCAUGUUUAGUGACACCAAAGUAUAGAAAAAUUGACAUAUGACAUCAACAGUAAAUUCCUCUUGGUUCACCAAGGCUCAGUUGUUACACAAACAUAAUUAGAGAACUAAGAAAGAACAAGUAGGUAAACACCACUGAACUCUUAGAAAGCACUGUCUUAAUUUCAGGAAGUUGCUAGUUACAAAAGAGCCUAUAAAAUCUUUCAAGAUGCUAAUAGUGAAUUUUUUCAUUUCUUUACAUUUGUGGCAGUAUUGGAGAUUGAACCCGGGGC